UGGGGAAUAUUGCGCAAUGGGGGAAACCCUGACGCAGCAACGCCGCGUGAAGGAUGAAGGCUUUCGGGUUGUAAACUUCUUUGAUCGGGGACGAAGAUGACGGUACCCGGGGAACAAGCCACGGCUAACUACGUGCCAGCAGCCGCGGUAAUACGUAGGUGGCAAGCGUUGUCCGGAAUUACUGGGUGUAAAGGGCGUGUAGGCGGGGCGGCAAGUCAGAUGUGAAAUACCGUGGCUUAACUGCGGGGGUGCAUCUGAAACUGCUGCUCUUGAGUGCUGGAGAGGAAAGCGGAAUUCCUAGUGUAGCGGUGAAAUGCGUAGAUAUUAGGAGGAACACCAGUGGCGAAGGCGGCUUUCUGGACAGUAACUGACGCUGAGGCGCGAAAGCGUGGGGAGCAAACAGG
rnacentral:rRNA from 2 species